UACGGAGGGGCGAGCGUUGUCCGAAGUUACUGGGCGUAAAGGGUGCGUAGGCGGGUCUUUAAGUCAGGGGUGAAAUCCUGGAGCUCAACUCCAGAACUGCCUUUGAUACUGAGGAUCUUGAGUUCGGGAGAGGUGAGUGGAACUGCGAGUGUAGAGGUGAAAUUCGUAGAUAUUCGCAAGAACACCAGUGGCGAAGGCGGCUCACUGGCCCGGAACUGACGCUGAGGUGCGAAAGCGUGGGGAGCAAACAGG
rnacentral:rRNA from 1 species